CCACCCUGCCCUACCUUCUGCCUGACUUCAAACUACCACAGUUAACUACCUCUCUGACUGGAAAAUAUUAAUAG